AAAACGAAUCAAGCCGCUCCACUCCGUAGGCUUCGUUUACGAGGCUUCGGGCUAAUCUGGCCUGCUUCAAGCUUCAACGAUCUCCGGCCGAUCGAUGGGAUCAUAAUGAGAUCACUAGCGGCUGAAUCUACAUUCCACCAAACUGCUUGCUGCCGGAGGGUCAGGACUCCAGAAGAGGUUUCGCCUGCUGCUUACAAGCUCCGAACUAGUCAGCGAACUGCAGCAGAGUACAAAGUACACGAGUUGCGUGCCACGCCCGGUCUCUGUUUUGGCAUCGAAAUUGGUGUCUCGCUUCGAGGACACCGCCGUCCCGUGCCAGGUGAUAUCACACGAGCAUGACUCGAUUGAGAACUCCCACGUUUCCAGGAGGACUACGUUCGUCAAGGUGAUUGUAAUUAAAUAAAUCAGCCCCGCGCGGCACACAAGCGA